AAGCUUGAACGAAGCCGACGUUCGGGUUGGGGGAUGAAUCCUUUAUGGUUUGUAACCCCCUUUUUAUCAAGGGAAGAAUAUGACGGUACUUUGAGAAGAAGGCCCCGGCCACUACUUGCCAGCAGCACACGGUAAUAUUUAGGGGGCGAGGGUUGUCCGGAUUUAUUGGGCGUAAAGGGCUCGUAGGCGGCUUGGUCAAGUCGUCUGUGAAAAAACAGGGCUCAACCCUGGGACGGCCGGUCGAUACUGCCAUGGCUAGGGUCCGGUAGAGGGGAAUGGAAUUCCCGGUGUAGGCGGUGAAAUGCGCAGAUAUCGGGAGGAACACCAGUAGCGAAGGCGGUUCCUUGGGCGGGCACCGACGCUGAGGAGCGAAAGCGUGGGGAGCAAACAGGAUUAGAUACCCUGGUAGUCCACGCCGUA
rnacentral:rRNA from 1 species